UAAUGUCAAUGUCAGAAAAAU
ensembl:piRNA 21ur-946 ncRNA